GGGCGUAUGGCUCACUGGUAGAGCAAUCCCUUAGAAUGGGAGAGGGCUGGGGUUCAAGUCUCCAAACCUCCU